rnacentral:rRNA from 1 species
CCUACGGGUGGCUGCAGUGGGGAAUAUUGCACAAUGGGCGCAAGCCUGAUGCAGCCAUGCCGCGUGUGUGAAGAAGGCCUUCGGGUUGUAAAGCACUUUCAGCGGGGAGGAAGGCGGUGAGGUUAAUAACCUCAUCGAUUGACGUUACCCGCAGAAGAAGCACCGGCUAACUCCGUGCCAGCAGCCGCGGUAAUACGGAGGGUGCAAGCGUUAAUCGGAAUUACUGGGCGUAAAGCGCACGCAGGCGGUCUGUCAAGUCGGAUGUGAAAUCCCCGGGCUCAACCUGGGGACUGCAUUCGAAACUGGCAGGCUAGAGUCUUGUAGAGGGGGGUAGAAUUCCAGGUGUAGCGGUGAAAUGCGUAGAGAUCUGGAGGAAUACCGGUGGCGAAGGCGGCCCCCUGGACAAAGACUGACGCUCAGGUGCGAAAGCGUGGGGAGCAAACAGGAUUAGAUACCCGUGUAGUC